GCUUGCUUCCUCAAUCGAGUGGCGAACGGGUGAGUAACGCGUGAGGAACCUGCCUCAAAGAGGGGGACAACAGUUGGAAACGGCUGCUAAUACCGCAUAAGCCCACAGCUCGGCAUCGAGCAGAGGGAAAAGGAGCAAUCCGCUUUGAGAUGGCCUCGCGUCCGAUUAGCUAGUUGGUGAGGUAAUGGCCCACCAAGGCGACGAUCGGUAGCCGGACUGAGAGGUUGAACGGCCACAUUGGGACUGAGACACGGCCCAGACUCCUACGGGAGGCAGCAGUGGGGAAUAUUGCACAAUGGGGGAAACCCUGAUGCAGCGACGCCGCGUGGAGGAAGAAGGUCUUCGGAUUGUAAACUCCUGUUGUUGAGGAAGAUAAUGACGGUACUCAACAAGGAAGUGACGGCUAACUACGUGCCAGCAGCCGCGGUAAAACGUAGGUCACAAGCGUUGUCCGGAAUUACUGGGUGUAAAGGGAGCGCAGGCGGGAAGACAAGUUGGAAGUGAAAUCUAUGGGCUCAACCCAUAAACUGCUUUCAAAACUGUUUUUCUUGAGUAGUGCAGAGGUAGGCGGAAUUCCCGGUGUAGCGGUGGAAUGCGUAGAUAUCGGGAGGAACACCAGUGGCGAAGGCGGCCUACUGGGCACCAACUGACGCUGAGGCUCGAAAGUGUGGGUAGCAAACAGGAUUAGAUACCCUGGUAGUCCACACCGUAAACGAUGAUUACUAGGUGUUGGAGGAUUGACCCCUUCAGUGCCGCAGUUAACACAAUAAGUAAUCCACCUGGGGGAGUACGACCGCAAGGUUGAAACUCAAAGGAAUUGACGGGGGCCCGCACAAGCAGUGGGAGUAUGUGGUUUAAUUCCGACGCAAC
rnacentral:rRNA from 1 species